rnacentral:rRNA from 1 species
UGGAACUGCCUUCAAAACUACAUUUCUUGAGUUUGGUAGAGGAGAGUGGAAUUCCUAGUGUAGAGGUGAAAUUCGUAGAUAUUAGGAGGAACACCAGUGGCGAAGGCGACUCUCUGGGCCAAUACUGACGCUGAGGUUCGAAAGCAUGGGUAGCGAACAGGAUUAGAUACCCUGGUAGUCCAUGCAGUAAACGAUGAGUGCUAGAUGUUGGGAAUUUAAAUUUCCAGUAUCGCAGUUAACGCGUUAAGCACUCCGCCUGGGAAGUACGGCCGCAAGGCUAAAACUCAAAUGAAUUGACGGGGACCCGCACAAGCGGUGGAUCAUGUGGUUUAAUUCGAAGAUACGCGAAGAACCUUACCGGCUCUUGACAUACCAAUCGCGGACUUAAGAGAUUAAGUCUUUCACUUCGGGUGGAUUGGAUACAGGUGCUGCAUGGCUGUCGUCAGCUCGUGUCGUGAGAUGUUGGGUUAAGUCCCGCAACGAGCGCAACCCUUACCUUCAAUUGCCAGCACAUUAUGGUGGGAACUUUGAAGGAACUGCCGGUGAUAAGCCGGAGGAAGGUGGGGAUGACGUCAAGUCCUCAUGGCCCUUACGGGCCGGGCUACACACGUGAUACAAUGGUAACUACAAAGGGCAGCGAAGGAGCGAUCUGGAGCAAAUCUCAAAAAGUUACCUCAGUUCGGAUUGCACUCUGCAACUCGAGUGCAUGAAGUUGGAAUCGCUAGUAAUCGUAGAUCAGCGCGCUACGGUGAAUACGUUCCCGGGUCUUGUACACACCGCCCGUCACACCAUGGGAGUUGGUUUUACCUGAAGCUGGUUCGCUAACCGUAAGGAGGCAGCCAACCACGGUAAGAUUAGCGACUGGGGUGAAGUCGUAACAAGGUAGCCG